CAAGGCUCAGGAGGAGAGAGCUCGUGCUGCAAGCUUGAGGGAUGGAGAUUGUGUCCCCAGCACCUAUACAAAACGGCUGAGGAUGGAACCCUAACAGCACACAGAGUCACCUGACCAGUUCCUGGACUUUAAAGCUUUCGCUAAGCUUCUCUGGCUCAAAUUUCUCCACGUUGGGAGCUCAAGAAAUCGUGGUAGACCCAGUAUCAUCAGCAAUGAAAAUUGUCACGUGUAAUCCAUUGAACCAGGUGUUGUGGCAUCCUACCACUAAGCACAGUGAAGGUUGAGAGGAGGAUGAAGAGACUUGGGUCAGAAUGAACUACAGAGUGAGACCCUGUGUCAGAAUUCAACAUGGGACCAGAACAAAUCAAGUACCAAAGACAUUAGCUUUAUCACAAAUGACACUUACAUGUGUUCUGCUAGGUAGCUAUCACAGUAGAUUCCUGUCUCAACAUUGAAGUUAUAGCCACAGAAACACUGACCAAUGAUGUUUGUGAAGGAUGAAAUGGGGCACUCCUAUUACAUUAUGAUAAAGGUAUACAAGAACAUACUAACUUCCAUGUAAGAGGCAUGCUUAUCCUGUUUCAUUCCCUUCUGUAUAUUGAAAUUAGAUUCUUCUCUCAUACAAUACAUCCUGGCCACAGUUUCCCUUCCCUCCACUCCUCCCAGCCAGCCUCAAGCUUUCCUCUUACUUAGACCCACCCCAGCUCUGUUUCCUCUUCAGAAAAGAGCAGGUC